CGCGUAGGCGGACUUUCAAGUCGGAUGUGAAAUCCACAGGCUUAACUUGUGGCUUGCAUUCGAUACUGUUGGUCUUGAGUAUAUCAGAGGAAAGCGGAAUUCCAGGUGUAGCGGUGAAAUGCGCAGAUAUCUGGAAGAACACCAGUAGCGAAGGCGGCUUUCUGGGGUAAUACUGACGCUGAAGCGCGAAGGCUAGGGGAGCAAACA
rnacentral:rRNA from 1 species